rnacentral:rRNA from 1 species
GACAGAGGGUGCAAACGUUGUUCGGAAUUACUGGGCGUAAAGCGCGUGUAGGCGGCUCGGCAAGUCGGGUGUGAAAGCCCUGGGCUUAACCUAGGAAGUGCACUCGAAACUGCCAAGCUUGAGUUCUGGAGAGGGAGGCGGAAUUCUCGGUGUAGAGGUGAAAUUCGUAGAUAUCGAGAGGAACACCGGUGGCGAAGGCGGCCUUCUGGACAGCAACUGACGCUGAGACGCGAAAGCGUGGGGAGCAAACAGG